UCCUGUGCAACCGCACGACCAUCGUUACUAAGUAGUUUCGUACUCACGAUGCAAGGCGAGUCUUCACAGA
rnacentral:sRNA from 1 species